rnacentral:sRNA from 1 species
CCUGGCACUUACGUGCCAGGCUUUACUCGGCCGCCGCUUCGCGGCU